AAUUAAAUAUAAAAAGGGCAUUUGGUGAAUGCCUUGGCAUUAGAAGGCGAUGAAGGACGUGGUACGCUGCGAAAAGCCUCGGGGAGACGCGAACAAUCUUUAAUCCGAGGAUGUCCGAAUGGGGAAACCCACCUGGCUUGCCAGGUAUCGUAUAGUAAAUAAAUAGCUAUAUGAGGCGAACCUAGCGAACUGAAAUAUCUAAGUAGCUAGAGGAAAGGAAAUCAACGAGACUCCGUUAGUAGUGACGAGCGAACGCGGACCAGGCCAGUAGCUUAAGAAUUACAACUAGAACAAUCUGGAAAGAUUGGCCACAGAAGGUGAUAGCCCUGUACAGGUAAUGAAUUCUUAAGUUCUUGAGUAGGGCGGGACACGUGAAAUCCCGUUUGAAUAUGGGGAGACCACUCUCCAAGCCUAAGUACUCUCUAAUGACCGAUAGUGAACUAGUACCGUGAGGGAAAGGUGAAAAGAACCCCGACAAGGGGAGUGAAAUAGUACCUGAAACCAAAUGCCUACAAACAGUUGGAGCUUAUAUAUUAUUUCGGUAAUAUAUUGAAGUGACAGCGUACCUUUUGCAUAAUGGGUCAGCGAGUUAGUUUAUCGAGCAAGCUUAAGCCGUUAGGUGUAGGCGUAGCGAAAGCGAGUCUUAAUAGGGCGAUUAGUUCGAUGAAUUAGACCCGAAACCAAGUGAUCUAGCUAUGGCCAGGUUGAAGGCACAGUAACAUGUGCUGGAGGACCGAACCCACUAAUGUUGCAAUAUUAGGGGAUGAGCUGUGGCUAGGGGUGAAAGGCCAAUCAAACUUGGAAAUAGCUGGUUCUCCGCGAAAUCUAUUUAGGUAGAGCGUUGUAUGAUUACCGUCGGGGGUAGAGCACUGGAUAGGCUAGGGGGAUUCAUACUCUUACCAAACCUAACCAAACUCCGAAUACCGAUAAGUACAGUACAGCAGACAGACUACGGGUGCUAAGAUCCGUAGUCAAAAGGGAAACAGCCCAGACCGUCAUCUAAAGUCCCCAAGUGAUAGCUAAGUGUGAAAGGAUGUGAGAGGACCAAAACAACUAGGAGGUUGGCUUAGAAGCAGCCAUCCUUUAAAGAAAGCGUAACAGCUCACUAGUCUAAAAAAGUCCUUUUGCGCUAACAAUGUAACGGGGCUCAAGCUAUACACUGAAGAUACGGACAUGUCUUUGACAUGUGGUAGCGGAGCGUUCUGUAAGUCUGUGAAGGUAGUCCGUAAGGGCUGCUGGAGAUAUCAGAAGUGAGAAUGCUGACAUAAGUAGCGAUAAAGAAUGUGAAAAACAUUCUCGCCGAAAGUCCAAGGGUUCCUGCGUAAAGUUAAUCUGCGCAGGGUUAGUCGGCCCCUAAGGCGAGGCUGAAAGGCGUAGUCGAUGGGAAUCAGGUUAAUAUUCCUGAACCUGCAAGAUGUGACGAAGGUCGUAACCUGUACAUUAUUAUUGGAUUUAGUGUGCAGCGAAGAACUUCCGGGAAAUAGCACUUGCUUAUAGACCGUACCCCAAACCGACACAGGUGGACAGGUAGAGUAUACUAAGGCGCUUGAGAGAACAACACUGAAGGAACUCGGCAAAUUGCACCUGUAACUUCGGGAGAAGGGUGGCCAAUUAGAGGGCAACCUUUAAUUGGUAGCAUAAAAUAGGGGGUAGCGACUGUUUAUCAAAAACACAGGGCUCUGCAAAGUCCAAAGACGAUGUAUAGGGUCUGACGCCUGCCCAGUGCCGGAAGGUUAAGAGGAGAAGUGCAAGCUUUGAAUUGAAGCCCCGGUGAACGGCGGCCGUAACUAUGACGGUCCUAAGGUAGCGAAAUUCCUUGUCGGGUAAGUUCCGACCCGCACGAAUGGCGUAACGACUGCCCCACUGUCUCCAGUGUUGACUCAGCGAAAUUGGAUUCUCCGUGAAGAUACGGAGUUCCCGCGGUUAGACGAGAAGACCCCGUGCACCUUUACUAUAGCUUUGCACUGAUAUUAGAAAUUUAAUGUGUAGGAUAGGUGGGAGACUAUGAAACGGCGACGCCAGUUGCUGUGGAGUCACCCUUGAAAUACCACCCUUUAAGUUUUUGAUAUCUAACCAUGACCUUUGAAUCGAGGUCUGAGACAAUGCAUGGUGGGUAGUUUGACUGGGGCGGUCGCCUCCUAAAGAGUAACGGAGGCGUGCGAAGGUAAGCUCAGAUUGGUUAGAAAUCAAUUGUUAGAGUGCAAUGGCAUAAGCUUGCCUGACUGCAAGGCUGACUAGCCGAGCAGAGACGAAAGUCGGUCAUAGUGAUCCGGUGGUUCUGCGUGGAAGGACCAUCGCUCAACGGAUAAAAGGUACGCCGGGGAUAACAGGCUGAUGAUUCCAGAGAGUCCAUAUCGACGGAAUCGUUUGGCACCUCGAUGUCGGCUCAUCACAUCCUGGGGCUGAAGAAGGUCCCAAGGGUUCGGCUGUUCGCCGAUUAAAGUGGUACGUGAGCUGGGUUCAGAACGUCGUGAGACAGUUCGGUCUCUAUCUGCCGUGGGUGUAAGGAAAUUUGAGAGGAGCUGCCCUUAGUACGAGAGGACCAGGGUGGACGUACCUAUAGUGUACCAGUUGUAACGCCAGUUGCAUCGCUGGGUAGCCACGUACGGACGGGAUAACCGCUGAAAGCAUCUAAGCAGGAAGCCCACCUCAAGACUAGAUUUCCCCAUCAGAGCCGUGGAAGACCACCACGUUGAUAGGCUAGGUGUGUAAGUGCAGUAAUGCAUUCAGCUAACUAGUACUAAUAGCUCAAUUGAUUUAAUUUA
rnacentral:rRNA from 1 species